rnacentral:lncRNA from 13 species
AUGCACACACACACACCCACACAGCCACAGACACACAGACACCCACAGACACACAUUCAUACACACACAGAAACACACACACAGACACUCACACACACAGACACCCAUACAGACACAGACACACAGCCACAGACACCCAUACACACAGCCACACAGACACCCACAGAUGCACAGACACCAUAUACACACAGACACCCAUACACACACAGCCACAGACACCCAUACACACAGAGACACACAGACACUCACAGACACACAGACACCCAUAUACACACAGACACACAGACAUCCAUAAACACACAGACACCCAUAUACACGCACAGGCACACAGACACUCACAGACACCCAUAUACAGACACACAUGGACACUCACAGACAUCCAGACACACACACACAGACACCCACAGAUGCACAGAUACCAUAGACACAGACAUCCAUACACACACAGAAACCCAUGCACACACAGACACACACAGACACCCACAGACACCCAUACACUCACAGACACAGACAGACAUUCAUACACACACAGACACCCAUGCACACACAGGCACACACACACCCACAGACACACAGACACCCAUCUACACAUACAGACACACAGACACACACAGACACACCCACCCACACAGAAACAGACAUACAGACACAGACACACAGACACCUAUACACACAGACACACAGACAUCCAUACACACAGACACACAGACACCCACAGACACACAGACACCCAUACACACACUCACAGACACCUAUACACACAUAGACACACAGAUACCCACAGAUGAACACCCAUAUACACACACAGACACCUAUACACACAUAGACACACAGACACCCAUAUACACACAGACACGGACACACAGACACACAGACAUCUAUACACACACAGACACCCAUACACACAUAGACACAGAGACACCCACAGACACACAGACACCCAUACACACACACGGACACCCACAGAUGCACAGACACCCAUACACACAGCCACAGAGAUACCCAUACACACACACAGACACCCAUACACACACAGCCACACAGAUACCCAUACACACACACACACACCCAUACACACACACACACAGACACACAGGCACCCUCAUAUACACAGACACACAGACACCCACAGACACACAGACACCCAUAUACACACACAGACACACAGACACCCAUACACACAUACAGAUACCCAGACACACACUCAUGCACACAGACACACACAGAUACAUAGAUACCUAUAUGUACACAUAG